rnacentral:rRNA from 1 species
GCCAUGCCGCGUGCAGGAUGACGGUCCUAUGGAUUGUAAACUGCUUUAUAAGAGAGGAAACACUCCAACGUGUUGGAGCUUGACGGUAUCGUAAGAAUAAGGAUCGGCUAACUCCGUGCCAGCAGCCGCGGUAAUACGGAGGAUCCAAGCGUUAUCCGGAAUCAUUGGGUUUAAAGGGUCCGUAGGCGGUUUAGUAAGUCAGUGGUGAAAGCCCAUCGCUCAACGGUGGAACGGCCAUUGAUACUGCUAAACUUGAAUUAUUAGGAAGUAACUAGAAUAUGUAGUGUAGCGGUGAAAUGCUUAGAGAUUACAUGGAAUACCAAUUGCGAAGGCAGGUUACUACUAAUGGAUUGACGCUGAUGGACGAAAGCGUGGGUAGCGAACAGGAUUAGAUACCCUGGUAGUCCACGCCGUAAACGAUGGAUACUAGCUGUUGGAAGCAAUUUCAGUGGCUAAGCGAAAGUGAUAAGUAUCCCACCUGGGGAGUACGUUCGCAAGAAUGAAACUCAAAGGAAUUGACGGGGGCCCGCACAAGCGGUGGAGCAUGUGGUUUAAUUCGAUGAUACGCGAGGAACCUUACCAAGGCUUAAAUGUAGAUUGACCGGUUUGGAAACAGAUCUUUC